rnacentral:rRNA from 1 species
GUCAGGAGUCUUGCACAAUGGGGGAAACCCUGAUGCAGCGACGUCGCGUGUGGGAUGAAGUAUUUCGGUAUGUAAACCACUUUUGCGGGGGGCGAAAAAAAUGACGGUACCCCGCGAAUAAGCCCCGGCUAACUACGUGCCAGCAGCCGCGGUAAUACGUAGGGGGCGAGCGUUGCUCGGAUUGACUGGGCGUAAAGCGCGCGUAGGCGGUCCAUUAAGUGUGCGGUGAAAUUCGGAGGCUCAACCUCCGUCCCGCCGCGCAAACUGAUGGUCUUGAGAUUGGGAGGGGGAUGCGGAAUUCCUGGUGUAGCGGUGAAAUGCAUUGAUAUCAGGAGGAACACCGGCGGCGAAAGCGGCAUCCUGGCUUAUAUCUGACGCUGAGGCGCGAAAGCGUGGGUAGCAAACGGGAUUAGAAACCCGUGUAGUCC